AUGAACGCUGGCGGCAUGCCUUACACAUGCAAGUCGAACGGCAGCAUGACCUAGCUUGCUAGGUUGAUGGCGAGUGGCGAACGGGUGAGUAAUGCAUCGGAACGUGCCUUUUAGUGGGGGAUAACGUAGCGAAAGUUACGCUAAUACCGCAUAUUCUCUGAGGAGGAAAGCAGGGGACCUUCGGGCCUUGCGCUAGAAGAGCGGCCGAUGUCGGAUUAGCUAGUUGGUGAAGUAAAGGCUCACCAAGGCAACGAUCCGUAGCGGGUCUGAGAGGAUGAUCCGCCACACUGGGACUGAGACACGGCCCAGACUCCUACGGGAGGCAGCAGUGGGGAAUUUUGGACAAUGGGCGCAAGCCUGAUCCAGCCAUGCCGCGUGAGUGAAGAAGGCCUUCGGGUUGUAAAGCUCUUUCGGCUGGGAAGAAAUCGCACCCUCUAAUACAGGGUGUGGAUGACGGUACCAGCAUAAGAAGCACCGGCUAACUACGUG
rnacentral:rRNA from 1 species